CCGGCCCGUGAUGAGCACUUAUCCACGCGUGUUCGAGUCUCGCGACCGUGAGAUGACUCCACAUGCACUACCAUCUGAGGCCCC
ensembl:snoRNA SNORD33 Small nucleolar RNA Z195/SNORD33/SNORD32 family